GAUGAACGCUGGCGGCGUGCCUAAUACAUGCAAGUCGAGCGAACAGACGAGGAGCUUGCUCCUCUGACGUUAGCGGCGGACGGGUGAGUAACACGUGGAUAACCUACCUAUAAGACUGGGAUAACUUCGGGAAACCGGAGCUAAUACCGGAUAAUAUAUUGAACCGCAUGGUUCAAUAGUGAAAGACGGUUUUGCUGUCACUUAUAGAUGGAUCCGCGCCGCAUUAGCUAGUUGGUAUGGUAACGGCUUACCAAGGCAACGAUGCGUAGCCGACCUGAGAGGAUGAUCGGCCACACUGGAACUGAGACACGGUCCAGACUCCUACGGGAGGCAGCAGUAGGGAAUCUUCCGCAAUGGGCGAAAGCCUGACGGAGCAACGCCGCGUGAGUGAUGAAGGUCUUCGGAUCGUAAAACUCUGUUAUUAGGGAAGAACAAAUGUGUAAGUAACUAUGCACGUCUUGACGGUACCUAAUCAGAAAGCCACGGCUAACUACGUG
rnacentral:rRNA from 1 species